UCUGGUGGCUAUAGCAAGGAGGUCACACCUGUUCCCAUGCCGAACACAGAAGUUAAGCUCCUUAGCGCCGAUGGUAGUCGGACUUACGU
rnacentral:rRNA from 1 species